rnacentral:rRNA from 1 species
CGGGUGAGUAACACGUGGACAAUCUGCCCCCCGGUCCGGGAUAGCCCAGGGAAACCUGGAUUAAUACCGGAUGAGACGGGACCCGCGGAGGCGGGAUCCGGGAAAGGCGCUAUGGCGCCGCCGGGGGAUGAGUCUGCGUCCCAUUAGCUAGACGGCGGGGUAACGGCCCACCGUGGCGACGAUGGGUAGCCGGCCUGAGAGGGUGGACGGCCACAUUGGAACUGAGACACGGUCCAGACUCCUACGGGAGGCAGCAGCUAAGAAUCUUCCGCAAUGGGCGAAAGCCUGACGGAGCGACGCCGCGUGAACGAAGAAGGCCGUGAGGUUGUAAAGUUCUUUUCGGGAGGGGGAACAACCGUGGCAGGGAAUGGCCGCGGGAUGACGUGAAUCCCGGAAUAAGCCCCGGCUAACUACGUGCCAGCAGCCGCGGUAACACGUAGGGGGCGAGCGUUGUUCGGAAUCAUUGGGCGUAAAGGGCGUGCAGGCGGUCCUGCAAGUCCGGCGUGAAAGACCCCGGCCCAACCGGGGGGACGCGCUGGAAACUGCGGGGCUUGAGUGCAGGAGGGGAUGCCGGAAUUCCAGGUGUAGGGGUGAAAUCUGUAGAUAUCUGGAAGAACACCAAUGGCGAAGGCAGGCAUCUGGCCAUGUACUGACGCUGAGACGCGAAGGUGCGGGGAGCAAACAGGUUUAGAUACCCUGGUAGUCCGCACAGUAAACGAUGUGCACCAGGUGGCGGG